AAAGAAAUAACAAGAUUAGGGUUCGCGAUUUUCACCACUUAACGAUUGCUCGAAGAAAGCAACAAGAUUAGGGUUUACUUACCAGAUGAAGAUACUCCUUCAAUGUUCAAUUACUGCACCCGACCGAAUGGGAGGAGAUUGCUUGGUGAACGCUGGAACAACACAGGAACACUUCAAUGGAGAGAGGAGGCAGAAGCAGAGCACGAUGCGAUAGUGAAGAGGGCUGAAGAGAGCGACAACGAUAUCAACGACGACUCGACAGAGGGACGACGAAAGCCCAGGUUCGAUAGAGAAAGGACUUGAGGGUUCGAGAGAGAGACAGCUCGAGGUCUCGAGAGGAACAAUAGAGCUCAGGUUAGGUUUCAGCUUCUAAUUAAUCAAAAAUAUAUUUUUUUAAAUAAGAUAUUACUCAGAUCCGUAUAUAAUAUAACUCCUUCUACUUACAUACGGUUAAUGGAAAUUACAUAGGGAUAUAUCCUUAGAUAAUUUUCCCG
rnacentral:lncRNA from 1 species